AAAGUUCCCUCGCUGGCUAAUUUUGUUCGUGAGAAUGUGUGCGGGUCUGGGAGUUGUAUGUGUGUGUGUGAGAAGUGUGUUUGUUUGAUGGUGUUGUUAAAUGGCCUCACAAUGUGUGUUUUGUGUCCUUAGAUUGGUCAGUUAAGUUGAACGAUGAUUCUGCAUUGUACAGCUCUUAGGGCCUUCUAGGGAUUAGGUGCUACAUAAAUUCCAUAUUUAUAGGUCAGAUGGGCAAAACUAUGGAACAAAAGAGUUUCGUGCUGCCUGUGGAAACAUUUGACAUAUUGGAACAAAAAAAAAAAAAAGUGAUAAAUUCCUUUUAUAGUCCAGGGCUUCCAGUCUUCCGCAAUUUUGCGGAUUUCCGCAAAUUAGCAGAAUUCCGCAAAUGGAAAAAUUUCCGUGAAAAUUCGUGCCAAAAAAAAUUAAUUAAAAAAAAUAUUUAAAAAAAUGC